rnacentral:rRNA from 1 species
AAGCGGACGCCGCGAAAACCGAAGGCCACCGUCGUGCCGGCGCCGCCGCGCCGCCGGCCGCCCCGCAUGGAGUACCACGCACGGUCCGACGAGGCUUGGUACGGCGCGCGCGUGGUGGUACAGGACGGCUCGCUGCGCGUCAUGUUCGAGGAUUUCCUCGAGGACGCGAACGAGUGGUACCAUCCGGACGCGCCCGAGCUGGCCUCCCCGCGCGCCGUGGACGCGCUGCGCGCGAGGUUCCGCCGGGCGUGCCCCGCCCUCGACGACGCCCGCUGUGGCGAUCUCCGCCCGGGCGACCAGCUCUGCCUCGCCUGCGAUAUGCACGGCGGCGAGAUCAAAUACUACGACGCCGUCCUCGAGGCCGUACAGAAGGCACCACACGGCACCGUGGACGGCGAGGAGCGGUGCGCGUGCCGUUUCACGGUGAGAUGGACGGAGGGGCCGCGCCGCGGUUGCUGGGACAAGGUGGGCGUCGAGGUGGUCUGCUGCGUGCAGGCCUCACCGAUCCAAGAUCCAGUGCUGACCGAGUUCCUGGAGGAUGUGACAAAGCGGUUCGGCGACGACCAAGGGAAGGCGACGGUGGCGUCUCAGCCAGCCCCGAGCGGCGAGGGGGAAAGUGCG